rnacentral:rRNA from 1 species
UACAUGGGGUGCAAACGUUGCUCGGAAUUAUUGGGCGUAAAGCGCACGUAGGCGGUUCGUUAAGUCGGAUGUGAAAGCCCUCGGCUCAACUGAGGAAGUGCACCCGAAACUGGCGAGCUUGAGUACGAAAGAGGAUCGCGGAAUUCCCGGUGUAGAGGUGAAAUUCGUAGAUAUUGGGAAGAACACCGGUGGCGAAGGCGGCUCUCUGGACCGAUACUGACGCUGAGGCGCGAAAGCGUGGGGAGCAAACAGG